rnacentral:rRNA from 1 species
CGGUAGGGUAUUGGCCUACCGUGGCUAUGACGGGUAACGGGGAAUUAGGGUUCGAUUCCGGAGAGGGAGCCUGAGAAACGGCUACCACAUCUAAGGAAGGCAGCAGGCGCGCAAAUUACCCAAUCCUAAUACAGGGAGGUAGUGACAAGAAAUAACAAUACAGAGCCUUACGGUUUUGUAAUUGGAAUGAGUUAAGUAUAAACCCCUUAACAAGUAUCAAUUGGAGGGCAAGUCUGGUGCCAGCAGCCGCGGUAAUUCCAGCUCCAAUAGCGUAUAUUAAAGUUGUUGCAGUUAAAAAGCUCGUAGUUAAUUUUCUGUUAAUUUUUAUAUACAAUGCUACGGUAUUUAUAUAAUAUUAACAUAAUUCAUAUUACUUUUUAGUAUAUGAAACUUUACUUUGAGAAAAUUAGAGUGCUUAAAGCAGGCUAUUGCCUUGAAUACUCCAGCAUGGAAUAAUAUUAAGGAUUUUUAUUCUUCUUAUUGGUUCUAGAAUAAAAAUAAUGAUUAAUAGGGACAGUUGGGGGCAUUUGUAUUUAACAG